rnacentral:rRNA from 1 species
CUACGGGUGGCAGCAGUGAGGAAUAUUGCACAAUGGGGGGAACCCUGAUGCAGCAACGCCGCGUGGAGGAUGACGCAUUUCGGUGUGUAAACUCCUUUUAUAUGUCAAGAAAAUGACGGUAGCAUAUGAAUAAGCACCGGCUAACUCCGUGCCAGCAGCCGCGGUAAUACGGAGGGUGCAAGCGUUACUCGGAAUCACUGGGCGUAAAGGACGCGUAGGCGGGUUGGAAAGUCAGGUGUGAAAUCCUACAGCUUAACUGUAGAACUGCACUUGAAACUUCUAAUUUAGAGUAUGGGAGGGGGAGAUGGAAUUAGUGGUGUAGGGGUAAAAUCCGUAGAUAUCACUAGGAAUACCUAAAGCGAAGGCGAUCUCCUGGAACAUUACUGACGCUAAGGCGUGAAAGCGUGGGGAACAAACAGGAUUAGAUACCCGCGUAGUC